GAGAGUUUGAUCCUGGCUCAGGACGAACGCUGGCGGCGUGCUUAACACAUGCAAGUCGAACGGAGCACCCUUGAUUGAGGUUUCGGCCAAAUGAUAGGAAUGCUUAGUGGCGGACUGGUGAGUAACGCGUGAGGAACCUGCCUUUCAGAGGGGGACAACAGUUGGAAACGACUGCUAAUACCGCAUGACGCAUUUUGAUCGCAUGGUCGAAAUGCCAAAGAUUUAUCGCUGAAAGAUGGCCUCGCGUCUGAUUAGCUAGUUGGUGAGGUAACGGCCCACCAAGGCGACGAUCAGUAGCCGGACUGAGAGGUUGACCGGCCACAUUGGGACUGAGAUACGGCCCAGACUCCUACGGGAGGCAGCAGUGGGGAAUAUUGGGCAAUGGGCGCAAGCCUGACCCAGCAACGCCGCGUGAAGGAAGAAGGCUUUCGGGUUGUAAACUUCUUUUAAGUGGGAAGAGUAGAAGACGGUACCACUUGAAUAAGCCACGGCUAACUACGUGCCAGCAGCCGCGGUAAUACGUAGGUGGCAAGCGUUGUCCGGAUUUACUGGGUGUAAAGGGCGUGCAGCCGGGCAUGCAAGUCAGAUGUGAAAUCUCAGGGCUUAACCCUGAAACUGCAUUUGAAACUGUAUGUCUUGAGUGCCGGAGAGGUAAUCGGAAUUCCUUGUGUAGCGGUGAAAUGCGUAGAUAUAAGGAAGAACACCAGUGGCGAAGGCGGAUUACUGGACGGUAACUGACGGUGAGGCGCGAAAGCGUGGGGAGCGAACAGGAUUAGAUACCCUGGUAGUCCACGCUGUAAACGAUGGAUACUAGGUGUGCGGGGACUGACCCCCUGCGUGCCGCAGUUAACACAAUAAGUAUCCCACCUGGGGAGUACGAUCGCAAGGUUGAAACUCAAAGGAAUUGACGGGGGCCCGCACAAGCGGUGGAUUAUGUGGUUUAAUUCGAAGCAACGCGAAGAACCUUACCAGGUCUUGACAUCCUGCUAACGAAGUAGAGAUACAUUAGGUGCCCUUCGGGGAAAGCAGAGACAGGUGGUGCAUGGUUGUCGUCAGCUCGUGUCGUGAGAUGUUGGGUUAAGUCCCGCAACGAGCGCAACCCCUAUUGUUAGUUGCUACGCAAGAGCACUCUAGCGAGACUGCCGUUGACAAAACGGAGGAAG
rnacentral:rRNA from 1 species